rnacentral:rRNA from 1 species
UACGUAGGGUGCAAGCGUUAAUCGGAAUUACUGGGCGUAAAGCGUGCGCAGGCGGUUGUGCAAGCACGAUGUGAAAUCCCCGGGCUUAACCUGGGAAUGGCAUUGGUGACUGCACGGCUAGAGUGUGUCAGAGGGGGGUAGAAUUCCACGUGUAGCAGUGAAAUGCGUAGAGAUGUGGAGGAAUACCGAUGGCGAAAGGCAGCCCCCCUGGGAUAACACUGACGCUCAUGCACGAAAGCGUGGGGAGCAAACAGG